rnacentral:tRNA from 1 species
GAUUGGCGCAGCGGGAGCGCGCUUCCCUGACACGGAAGAGGUCACUGGUUCGAUCCCAGUAUC